GGAAAGUGUAUUGUGCAUUUGGGAUUGUAAACCGGUGGUAUUGAGUGACUCUAGCCUGCAACUUCUCCGUCUGCAGGUUGAGUUCACUCCUUUUGUGAGCUUCUACACUGUUUCAGAGGUUUGUAACUGCACCGCUUGCUGGACGAAUAUUCACCUCCCAGGUCCUCCUUCCCUCUCCCCUCAUUGUCCGCAGUAAAGUGCCAGUGGGCCUGUGAGGUAGAUCUUUGAUCUCCCCACCAGCCUAUUAAAACACACAGGAAGGCCAGCGCAUGCAUAGAACCAGCUCUGCAUGGGCCGGCAGCGGAAAUCCUUUGAUCUCCA